GGUCGGGGAAGGAACCGAGGCCGGGUCCCCUUCUUAUCCAGCCCGAGACAUUGAGCUCCGGUGGGCGUCCCUACGCUGGGAAUCCCGCUCGGAGUUUUUCCAGGCCCGGCCGGGCUGCGCCGGGAAAGGCCCUGCUCCUGUUCCGCGCAGCCUCUCCGGCCUCGCCCCUGGAAACCCCGCCCAGGGCGAUGGUAGGGGCCUAACCUGCAGCCACCGCCGGCUCCGCCCACCCAGCCCAUGGGCUCCCUGAGGCCCGCCCAGCCGACGAAAACGCCGCGGCCGCGAUGGCGGCGGACGUGGAUGGGGACGUGUACGUGCUGGUGGAGCACCCCUUCGAGUACACCGGCAAGGACGGGCGCCGCGUGGCCAUCAGGCCGAAUGAGCGCUAUCGGCUGCUGCGGCGCAGCACCGAGCACUGGUGGCACGUGCGGCGUGAGCCCGGCGGCCGCCCCUUCUACCUGCCUGCGCAGUACGUGCGCGAGCUGCCCGCGCUGGGCAACCCUGCCGCCGCCCCGCUGCCAGGUCCCCACCCGAGCCCCGCGGCCCCUGAGCCGCUCGCCUACGACUACCGGUUUGUGAGCGCGGCGGCGGCCGCGGGCCCCGACGGCGCCCCCGCGGAGUCCGGAGGCCGAGCCAGCUCCCUGUGCGGCCCUGCGCUACGCGGCGCCGCGACCCAGCGCAGCAGCCCGGCGCCGGGCCUGCCAGCCUGCCUGUACCUGCGGCCCGCGGCGCCCGUGCGGCCCGCGCAGUCCCUGGACGACCUGGCCUGCACCGCCGUCUUGCCUCCCGCCGGCCUCCUAGGAAGCAGCGGCAGCUUCAAGGCCUGCAGCGUGGCGGGCUCCUGGGUGUGCCCGCGGCCCCUGGCGCGCAGCGACUCAGAGAACGUCUACGAGGUCAUCCAGGACUUGCACGUCCAGCCGCGGGAGGAGAGCGCAGAGCAGGUGGACGACCCCCCGGAGCCCGUGUACGCGAACAUAGAGAGGCAGCCCCGGGCCACUUCACCGGGUGCCGCUGCAGCCCCCCUUCCCAGCCCGGUGUGGGAGACGCACACGGACGCGGGCACCGGGCGCCCCUACUACUACAACCCAGACACGGGAGUUACCACCUGGGAGUCGCCCUUUGAGGCUGCCGAGGGUGCCGCCAGCCCAGCCACCUCCCCUGCCUCGGUGGACAGCCACGUGAGCCUUGAGACCGAGUGGGGCCAGUACUGGGAUGAGGAGAGCCGCAGGGUGUUCUUCUACAACCCGCUGACGGGCGAGACGGCCUGGGAGGACGAGGCCGAGAACGAUCCCGAGGAGGAGUUGGAGAUGCAGCCGGGCCUGAGCCCUGGCAGCCCCGGGGACCCGCGGCCCCCCACUCCCGAGACGGACUACCCCGAGUCACUGACCAGUUACCCCGAGGAGGAUUAUUCUCCCGUGGGCUCUUUCGGUGAGCCCGGCCCUACCUCUCCCUUGACUACACCCCCCGGCUGGUCUUGUCAUGUCAGCCAGGACAAGCAGAUGCUCUACACCAACCACUUCACCCAGGAGCAGUGGGUGAGGCUGGAGGACCCCCACGGGAAGCCAUACUUCUACAAUCCAGAGGACUCCUCUGUUCGAUGGGAGCUGCCCCAGGUAACAACCUGGGGAAAGAGGGGUGUUGGGGAGAGAGGAAGAGAUUACAUACGGCUGUGUCUUUCUCCCCAGGUCCCUGUCCCUGCCCCUCGAAGCAUCCAUAAAGCCAGCCAGGAUGGUGACACCCCAGCCCAGGCCAGCCCUCCAGAGGAGAAGACCAAGACCUUGGACAAGGCAGGGGUGCUCCAUCGCACCAAGACGGCAGACAAGGGAAAGCGGCUCCGGUGAGAGCCCAUCUACACUCAGGCCGGGGCAGGGUGGACCUUGGUGACGAUGUUCACUGAGCACUUCCUGUAUGCGAGGCUCUUAUUAAUCCUCACAACAACUUCGUGAGUGGUCCUCUGUGGACCCUGAGACACUGUGAGAUAAAGUGACUUGCUCAAGAUCCCUCGGCUGCUAGGUGUUAGAGUCGGGAUUCCAGCCCUCAUAAUGGGGUACCCUAGCCUGUGUUCCUAAGCUCUGACUUGUUCCUGGGGUAGGAGGGGCCCUCAGCCCAGGACCAAAUCUAAGUCCUGCCACCCCCACUUCCCCACCCCUACCUAGGAAGAAGCACUGGAGUGCCUCCUGGACUGUGCUGGAGGGUGGCGUCCUGACAUUCUUCAAGGACUCAAAGACCUCGGCUGCAGGCGGCCUGAGGCAGCCUUCCAAGUUUUCCACCCCUGAAUACACAGUGGAGCUGAGGGGGGCCAUUCUCUCCUGGGCCCCCAAAGACAAAUCCAGUAGGAAGAAUGUGCUGGAGCUGCGGAGCCGAGAUGGCUCCGAGUACCUGAUCCAGCAUGACUCAGAGGCCAUCAUCAGCACCUGGCAUAAGGCCAUUGCUCAGGGCAUCCAGGAGCUGUCCGCAGAGCUGCCCCCAGAGGAGGAGAGCGAGAGCAGCAGAGCGGACUUCGGGUCGAGUGAGCGCCUGGGAAGCUGGCAGGAGAAAGAGGAGGACGCGCGACCGAAUGCAGCCACGCCCGCCCUGAGCCCCGGGGGCCUGGAGAGCGACGUGAGCAAGGUCCGGCACAAGCUCCGCAAGUUCCUCCAGAGGCGGCCCACACUGCAGUCGCUGCGGGAGAAGGGCUACAUCAAAGACCAGGUGUUCGGCUGCGCGCUGGCCGCGCUGUGUGAGCGCGAGAGGAGCCGGGUGCCACGCUUCGUGCAGCAGUGCAUCCGCGCCGUCGAGGCCCGCGGGCUGGACAUCGACGGGCUGUACCGCAUCAGUGGAAACCUAGCCACCAUCCAGAAGCUACGCUAUAAGGUGGACCACGAUGAGCGCCUUGACCUGGACGAUGGGCGCUGGGAGGACGUCCACGUUAUCACCGGAGCCCUGAAGCUCUUCUUUCGGGAGCUGCCCGAGCCCCUCUUCCCCUUCUCGCACUUCCGCCAGUUCAUUGCGGCCAUCAAGUUGCAGGACCAGGCCCAGCGCAGCCGCUGUGUGCGUGACUUGGUGCGCUCGCUGCCCGCCCCCAACCACGACACUCUGAGGAUGCUCUUCCAGCAUCUCUGCCGGGUGAUCGAGCACGGCGAGCAGAACCGCAUGUCGGUGCAGAGCGUGGCCAUUGUGUUCGGGCCCACGCUGCUGCGGCCCGAGGUGGAAGAGACCAGCAUGCCCAUGACCAUGGUGUUCCAGAACCAGGUGGUGGAGCUCAUCCUGCAGCAGUGCGCGGACAUCUUCCCGCCGCACUGACUGCUGGCCUGUGACUGGGGCGGCGGCCGCGGUCCUGCCACACAAGCUGGGCUGCGGAGGCCACGCAGCCGGGCCUUCUCUCUGGGACCCUCCGCCAGUGCAUAGCCGCAGGCCGGUGCGACUUCUGCACCCUCGGUUCUGAGGGUACGGUGACCCCUAGGGGGCAGUUUGCAAAAUGUGAUUCCUUUCCCCCAACUCCCCAUCCCCCACUCCCCUCCCCGUUACGUCCUGUUUGGGGGUUAAUUAGGUUUUUUCUCUGUUGCAUCGCGCCUACUGUGCGUGUGCGAUAGCGUGUGUGGGAGUGAGAGUUUGUUUUCUGGAAUGGUAGGCGCUGGGAGGAGGAGUUUGAUGGGGGGCUUCCUGGCUGCUUCUGGCCCUCACCUCGUGGAGGCCUUCACAGAGACCCUGUGGGCCCUGGCCCUGUGCUGGCACUGUGCCAGUCCUGAAGCAGCUGUGAUCACUUCCCCACUGUGGAAACAGGACUGACCCAGCCUUCGGCGUGGGCGGCUGAAGCUAUCCUCCUGAGGCCUCAGGGAUGACCUCCUGCCUGAGCCUCUCACAGGCUGGCUGUGGGCCAGUUUCAUCUGCUUUCCUGUUGGGGGUCCCGGGCCUCUGCUGUCCCUGACCCACUGGUGUUCUGUGCAAGGCUUCUUCCCAUUCACCAAGUGCACACCUUGCGUCUGCCGCUCGGCGUGCAGCAGUUCCACACGCCAUCCCAUUUCACAGACAAGGACGCUGAGGCCUGCAGCAGCAGUGUGACUUGCUCAAGGUCUAGUGAGUGACCUCCUUCCCCAGAAAAGGCUCCUCCCACACCAGAGUAUAGCCUGGGUAGGGGGGAAAUCAGUUCUUUCAGCUACCACCCCUCCAACCUUUGGGCCUAUGCGAAAAGAAAGGAACUAAGCUGGGUGUGUUCUGUCUGGACCUGGGGAGGCCCCUGAAGGCAAAGAGGGAACCUGUCCCAGCUGUUCUGUCCUAGGGGAGGGGGACAUAGCCCUAGCAGGAGCUCCCAGCCCCUCUUGGCACUCUGACACACAAGUACGCCCAUUUGGGGCCCGCUUUGCCAUGAAGAUCUGGGCAGGCCUGCAGGGUGUGGGGAAGGAGGACACAACCUCAAGAAAGGAAGCGUGAACCCCAGGGAACAGCGGGUCCCUUCCCUCCUCAGACACAAGCCAUCUCAGCUUGUGGCUCUUGGCCCCCAGCCCCACCCACCCACCUGUUCAUUUAUUCAACAGACAAUGACAGCUGAUAUUUAUUGGACAUUUGCACCAUGCCAAGCAUUCGGCUUGGAUUAUCCCAUUUGUUUCUCACAGCCGGUAUUUAUUGUCUGCUCUUCUGUGCCAGGUGCUGUGGCUCUGGGCAGGGGCACUGCAUGGGCUGCCUGCCCUGGUGGAGCUUGUGGUCUGAUGGGUGAGGCUGACCCCAGCCCACCCCAUUGCCAGCAGGGCCAGGGCAAGAGUACACACAGGGGCUUCAUACCAUAUGUCUAAAUAUUUAAAAGUUAUCAAUCAAGCUAACAACCUUUAAAUAAAAUAUGUUCUAUUCUCCU
rnacentral:sRNA from 1 species